rnacentral:Y_RNA from 1 species
GGCUGGUCCGAAGGUAGUGAGUUAUCUCAAUUGAUUAUUCACAGUUACAGAUUGAACUCCUUGUUCUAUUCUUUUCCCCCUUCUCACUACUGGACUUGACUAGUCUAAA